CUGGAAAUGCUGAGAAUGGAGAUGGAACCCCAAUUUCUCCGCCAACUCAGAGGCCAUUGCUUAGGCUGCCCUGGGAGACUUGCUCGUCUUUGAAACCAUGAGCCUCUUAUGGACAAGAGAAGCCCUGUCACGAGCUUUAACACAAUGGAACCAGCUUAUUCUUGAGGUAGUGAGUUUCCUGUCUCUGGAUGUAUUUAAGCAAAGACUGAACAGUCACCUAGCAGGGUUAAGGCACCAUUGUGCUGAGAGCACAACUCACCACUGUCGCCUGCCCUCAGCCUCUCCCAACCAAAAACCACGAGUACCUCGAGACAAAUACAUUAUGGAGACAACUGUCAUCACAACCACAUGUGGUAUUAUUUACUCACGUCAGUUUGAAUGAUUAAUGUGGAAAAGUGGCUGGGCAGCUAAUGAGAUUGAGGGCCGUGUAGAACAAUUUCUAUGUGAUUUUAAACAAUGCCCACUCUGUCCGUGGAGAGUCACAGAAACAUGAAUAGCUGGCGCGGCUGCCUCCUCUCUCUGCUGACUCCCUGUCUCAGCUGGGUCCUCCCAGCACACUCCCUACUCCCAGAGACUCCAAAUUUUCCAUCUGCAGCCAAGGAAGAGAAAGCAAGGACCCUUUCUAUUUCAGCAGCCUGGAGCUGUGGGCAGUGGCGGCCAUCUGGCUGACGUCAUUGGUGACUCCUCAGACAGCCAGAGGACAGAUGAGACUUAGGGGGCCUUGCGAGAGAGUGAGGAUUGUUGGCCGCUCUUUGCCUUCUUUAAUGAGUGGCUGCGUAGACAAGGUUAUAAACCAAAUGAUGCUUCAUUCUUCAGAGAAACAGCAUGGAAGCGGAAGAGUUUGAAAAAGAACAAGGUGCUACAAACAAGUCAGGAAUUUGUUCUGCAGGCCUGUCAAGUCUAUAAAUAUCUAGAAUCCUGCUUACCAAGUAUUGGUGUGAGGGUUGAUGAUGAAACCGAUGCUCACAGAGUUGAAAUAAGCUGCUGAAGGUCAUGCAGUGGUAAGUGACCAGUUGGACUGGAAUCCAGGGCUGUCUGACUCCACAACCGGAGUUCGUCCGUCACACAUCCGCCUUGAAGAGCCCCGGUGACAGGAUCUAGAUGGUAAGAAAUGGAAGCAUAAGUGUACACUGGAAUCUCCAAAGUACCAGCCAUAACAUCAGUUGAGCCGGCUUCCCAGACUCUUUACUCUUG
rnacentral:lncRNA from 1 species